UACGAAGGGGGCUAGCGUUGUUCGGAAUUACUGGGCGUAAGGCGCGUGUAGGCGGGUCUUUAAGUCAGGGGUGAAAUGCCAGGGCUCAACCUUGGAACUGCCUUUGAUACUGGAGACCUUGAGUCCGGGAGAGGUGAGUGGAAUUGCGAGUGUAGAGGUGAAAUUCGUAGAUAUUCGCAAGAACACCAGUGGCGAAGGCGGCUCACUGGCCCGGAACUGACGCUGAGACGCGAAAGCGUGGGGAGCAAACAGG
rnacentral:rRNA from 1 species